rnacentral:misc_RNA from 1 species
UGCUGCGCGUCAACUCGGCGCUGCACUGAUUUUCCCUUUCACCUCUCACGCCUUUACCUCCGCAGCUCCCGCCUCUGCGCGCGCGCCUUGUGCUGCGACUCUCCCCCUCCGCGUGCUAUUCCGUGAUCUUGCGUCUUUGUCUGCCUGAUUCUCUUGCUCGCUCCGUACUUUGUGGACAUCUUGACGUUUUAUCCGGCUGAGCGGCGUGAUUGUAAUCCUUGCCUCGCACCACACAUACGCACACACACACACACACACACACACGUUUAGUUGCCCCCCCCCUCUUCCUCCCGCUCCCGCUCCUUGUUUUUUUGUCUCUCUCGGUAGGCGGGUGUGUGUGCCUUCUAUUUUUGUUUUCUGCCUGCCUUGCCAGGUGCGCCACCAUACGUGUAGCGCGCUGUGUGUGCGGGUCUUCUUCUCCUCUGCAGCUGAGCGCGCACGCCCUCCUUAUCCCUGCUAGCUCUCUUCACACAGCAACGCGCCUCUCCCUACCCUCAAAAAGAAAACACACACACAGACAAACCUACAGUCGAACACCUGUUUUAUUUUCAUCGCCGUGUGGUGUGUGUACCGACGUACACAGUCGAGGCACCUCCUCUCGUUUUCUUUUCGGGUGCCCAUCACAGCCUCAUCGCGCGAGUAGCGUACACGCGUCUGUGUGCGUGCGUCGGCUUGCCAGUCAGAAAGCCGGCGCUUCACGUCUCCUCUCCAAACUACACAAGUACACGUACCGGCGUGAGGACGUACGCUGUUUUUGCGGCCAUGGCGAAGGUGCAGGUGGAGUUUCUGGCGCAGCGCCUCAUGUUGACGCUGGCGGAGGAGAAUAAAACAUCGGAGCGGACCUUCUCCAGGGGCGUUGACCUGACAUGGGUGCACCACAAGGCGCUAAUCUACGCCGCCGUCAUCUUCGCCGUCAUCUGCUGCUUCGUUUCGUUCAGCGACCUGCGCGAGCACCUGUCGCGGUUCGACUACCCAAAGCUGCAGGUGUUGGAGAUGCGUAUCAUCAUGAUGAUCCCGAUCUACGCCUUCUUCUCCGCCCUGUCGCUGCUCUUCCAUAAGUGGCGCUUCUUCUUCGAGACGGUGCGCGACACGUACGAGAGCUUCGUCCUGUACAUCUUCUUCAUGCUCAUGGUGUCGUACUGCGGCGGCGAGGGGCAGCUUCUGCGGUCUCUCAAGAGGAAGCGUUACAAGGGCAUGCACCCGUUCCCGAUGUGCUACCUGCCAUCCUUCCCGCUCGACACAGACUUUUACCUGCGCUGCAAGCGCUGGGUGCUGCAGUGUGCGCUGAUGAAGCCCCUCGUCUCCUUCAUUGCCAUGAUCUGCCACCCCCUCGGCAUCUACAAAGAGGGCAGCUUCAGGCUCAAUAAUGUGUACACGUACACCUCCAUUGUCAUGAACAUCAGCCUCACAAUGGCGUUGUACUACCUCGUGCUGUUCGAGAUUGAAUGCAAGAAGGAGAUGUACUACGCCAAGACGUUCUUGAAGUUCCUCUGCAUCAAGUCUAUCAUUUUCUUCAGCUACUGGCAGACUGUCUUUGUGAAUCUCGCCUCAUCGGCCGGCGUCAUCUACCUUGGAGCGCAUGAGGAGGAGAUCGAGGCCACGGGCGCCGUUAUUCAGGAUCUACUCAUGUGCUUCGAGCUGCUGCCGGUAGCCUUCUUGCAUCGUGCCGCUUUUGGCCGCAGAAAGCUGGAUGAUGAGAUGGCCUGUGUCCCGGUGUACAUGAAGGAUAACAACACCGGCGACCUGCGCUCCAACGUGGACACGGCGCUGAACGUGAACGACAUCAUCGACGACACUUUCGGAACCAUCUUCUUCCGCAAAGGCAAGCUGAUUGACCAGGAGAAUGGCGGCGAGAGCGACGAUGAAGAGAUAACCUACGGCGAAGGGGCUGGCAAGGCGGACGACAGCGGUGAGGGCGCCUCGCGGGGUCCGAGUGCCGGUGCGGGAUUCAACAGUGCCGACGGUAGGCUGGCAUUCAUGGGCAACGCUGACGCUCUCGCGCGCGACCCUACACUGGAGGAGCUCGUUCGCCACGCCAUCGUGACGGACUACGGCAUCCGCGUGGACGGCGUGCUCCAUUACGACGCGGACAGCGAUCGCGAGGAGCGAAAUCAAGACAUGAACUUCGCUGACACGGACGUCAUCCUUCGCCGCUCCAAGCACGAGGUGGCGGCGCAGGACGUGCGGGUUGACACAGACCUUCUCCGCUCGCACCAGGUACCCCAGGGCGGCGCGACCCCGCAGAUUUACUGCGUCGUGUGCGGCCGUUUCGAUCGCGAUAUGGUGCGCCGGCGCAACGGGUACAAGUGCAAGGAGUGCGUCGGCUCGAAGAGUCAGUCACUGCUGCGUCGCCGCCAGCAGGAGGUGAUGGAAGACGACGCGGUCGGGCCAGGACACACAGAUGUUGUGGUGGCGGCGAUGAAUGCAACAACGAACGCUUCCAGCGAUGUCGUCGAUAACCAAUGGCAGUUCUCGCCCGCUGUUGCGUCGACCAUGUCGCACCAUGGCGCGGCGGUCGUAAGCGACGAUGACGAGGAUGCAUCGUACGUGCAGCCAAUGCCUACAGAGGCGGACGCGGACCUCGUCGGUGUGACGCGUCUGCCUCAGGACACUACCGUGUCGGCACUCCCCGGCGCCACCGCUUUGGUGGAGGGCUUUGCCAGCCUUCAGCAGGUGCUGCGCGUCACCUUUCAUGGCGAUGAUACGAAGCCCACCGCGUUUCGGACCUCGGCUGCGCCUCCGUCGCAGGGGGGAGCUCUACCGGCUGCCGCGUCGAAGGGACCUCCUGCGGCGGUGACGGCACCGUCUCCAGCCGGGCCGGACAACUUCAAUGGUGAUUAGACGCGUGCACAGUUCCAAUACGCACCCAAGCGCAAGUUGGUGGCAGGGACAUCAACAUUACCCUCCAACGGGGGCCUUUGUAAGCACGCAUACAUAUGUUUGUGCUUGGCUCGGUGUUGCCGUCGUUCUGGAUCGACUACCUGUCUUCGAUCUCUUCUACCUUCGAUCCGUCCCCUCGGUGCGUCUGUGCUUCGGACUCUGCAGAUGGAGACGCUGAUGUCGACUUCGCUUAUUGGCGGUCCCGUUCGCGUUUUUCCUUUGAUCUCUUCCGCCUCCGCGGUGUGGUCCAUCGCUGGCGUGCUGGAUGAGAAGCAGCGAGCACGGCUUGCAGGACUGGACGAGAAACACCACAGAAAGGGGAAGCGUGCAAACAAAGAGACUUCAUCCGGCGCAACAGCGGAACGCAAGCGCGUUGGUAUGACGGCGCAGUGCUUGAGAGUGGCCGUGGAAAGGCCGCGCCGGUUGCAGGCAUCCACGGGGGCGUGUCUUGUCUGAGAAGCCUCGGACAAAAUCCACGUCGAUGGCUGCAAAUGGCUUCGUUUGAGGCGUUGCGGCACUGUCGCGCUCUUGCUCGCUGUUGGCACAUGGGCGAGGGUGCUACCUUUCCUCGACCCCCAUCUCUCCAUGUGCCCCUACUCAUGAUUGGCCAAUCUCGCCAUGGCCCGCUCUUCUUUCUCGGCGGAAACGCAGCAUGCACGAGCCCGCACUCUCCCUCAUGGUGGCUGCACUUCAGUGCUUCGCUUCUCCGAUCUGCUCAUUUCCUUGUCCUCCAUUUUCCCUUCGCAAACUCAACCCUCUGCGCGCUUGCACGCAAAACGUACGGACGGACGGCACAUCCCCCCUCCCUCCACCCCUCACUCACUCACCACCACCACACCACUCGCCCCCUUCCCCCCUGGAUCAUAAG